GUCCCUUUUGUUACUGACUUGUUACUCGGCUUGCUUUGACUAUCCUAUUUUCUAGCUUCCUUGACCCAGCUUUUCUGACUUCUUUUGACCUCGGCUUGUCUUGUCUCCUUUCUCAUUUUAUAUUUUACCUAUUUUAUCCGGCCAUUCUAAGGACCGGUAUAGGUACUUUCUCUGUCUAUAAUCUGGUGGGUUUAUAUUCUGUUU